GACGAACGCUGGCGGCGUGCCUAAUACAUGCAAGUCGAACGCAGUGGGGACGGGUGAGUAACACGUGGGUAACCUCCCAUCAGAGGGGAUAACACUUGGAAACAGGUGCUAAACCGAUCCUGAUGGAUGGACCCGCGGUUCAUUAGCUAGUUGGUGAGGUAACGGCUCACCAAGUCCACGAUGCAUAGCCGACCUGAGAGGGUUAACGGCCACACUGGGACUGCGAGACGGCCCAGAAUCCUACGGAAGGCAGCAGUAGGGAAUCUUGGACAAUGGGCGAAAGUCUGACCGAGCAAUGCCGCUUGAGUGAAGAAGGUGUUCGGAACGUAAAACGCUGUUGUUAGAGAAGCGGUAUCUAACCAGAAAGCAACGGCGAACUACGUGCCAGCAGCCGCGGUAAUAC
rnacentral:rRNA from 1 species